rnacentral:lncRNA from 1 species
CCUAUAGCUUGAGCCCAUUUGAUUCCAGUUCGGAACCCUUUAAAUCCCAAUGGGCCCCAUAGGAUCCCAUUAGGGCCCCCUUUAAAUCCCAAUGGGCCCCAUAGGAUCCCAUUAGGGCCCCUUUGGCCCCCAUUAGUCCCAAUGGGCCCCAUAGGAUCCCAUUAGGGCCCCCUUUAAAUCCCAAUGGGCCCCAUUGGAUCCCAUAAAGGCCCCCUUUAAAUCCCAAUGGUCCCCAUAGGAUCCCAUUCACCCCCAUUAGUCCCAAUGUGCCUCAUAGGAUCCCAUUAGGGCCCCCUUUAAACCCCAAUGGGCCCCAUAGGAUCCCAUUAGGGCCCCUUUAAAUCCCAAUGGGCCUCAUAGGAUCCAUUAGGGCCCUUUAAUCCCAAUGGGCCCCAUAGGAUCCCAUUUAGGGCCCCCUCUUAAACCCCAAUGGGCCCCAUAGGAUCCCCAUUAGGGCCCCUUUGCACAACCCCAUUAGUACCCCAAUGUGCCCCAUAGGAUCCCAUUAGGCCCCUUUGGCCCCCAUUAAGUCCCAAUGCGCCCCAUGGAUCCCAUUAGGGCCCCCUUUAAAUCCAAUGGGCCCCAUAGGAUCCCAU